AAGGGCUUAGCUUAAUUAAAGCAGUUGAUUUGCAUUCAGCGGAUGCAGGGUAUAGUCUUGCAGUCCUUA
rnacentral:tRNA from 1 species